AGCGAACGCUGGCGGCAGGCCUAACACAUGCAAGCCGAGCGCCCCGCAAGGGGAGCGGCAGACGGGAGAGUAACACGUGGGAACGUGCCCUUUGGUUCGGAACAACCCAGGGAAACUUGGGCUAAUACCGGAUAAGCCCUCACGGGGAAAGAUUUAUCGCCAAAGGAUCGGCCCGCGUCUGCUUAGCUAGUUGGUGGGGUAACGGCCCACCAAGGCGACGAUCAGUAGCUGGUCUGAGAGGAUGAUCAGCCUCAAUGGGACUGAGACACGGCCCAGACUCCUACGGGAGGCAGCAGUGGGGAAUAUUGGACAAUGGGCGCAAGCCUGAUCCAGCCAUGCCGCGUGGGUGAUGAAGGCCCUAGGGUUGUAAGCCCUUUCGGCGGGGAAGAUAAUGACGGUACCCGCAGAAGAAGCCCCGGCUAACUUCGUGCCAGCAGCCGCCGUAA
rnacentral:rRNA from 1 species